UCGGUUCCGGUUCACGCCUCACACCUUCACUGAAAUCGCUGAAGGGGCGACCCGGGUCC
rfam:Mycobacterium sp. 852014-51730_SCH5271717 contig_29, whole genome shotgun sequence.